rnacentral:misc_RNA from 1 species
CAGAAUCGUCAACACGAGUUGUUGCUGGUCUCCAAACGGAGGCACGUGCACGCUCUGUUUACACAUCCACUCACACCUGUGCACGCUCUGCGGUUCUAUGGUUCCGGGGGAGACCUCGUCUCCUUUCCAUAGUUCUGCAACUUUACACACACACACACCGUAAUCUAGUCUCAUGGAAUGCAUACCGCGUUUAACGCAAUAAAGUA